rnacentral:rRNA from 1 species
UACGUAGGGGGCUAGCGUUGUCCGGAUUCAUUGGGCGUAAAGCGCGUGUAGGCGGCCAGAUAGGUCCGUUGUGAAAACCCGAGGCUCAACCUCGGGACGCCGACGGAAACCAUUUGGCUAGGGUCCGGAAGAGGAGAGUGGAAUUCCCGGUGUAGCGGUGAAAUGCGCAGAUAUCGGGAAGAACACCCGUGGCGAAGGCGGCUCUCUGGGACGGUACCGACGCUGAGACGCGAAAGCGUGGGGAGCGAACAGG